CGCGCUCGUGCACUCUGUCUUCCCCAAAUCUCCCCGCCGCCGCGCAGUCGACCCCUCUCCCAAAUCUCAUCCGCGCGCGCUCGGCAGUCUCCCCAAAUUCCUGGGCGCGCUCGACCCCGCCUCGCGUCCGCUGCUCCUCUCCCAAAUCCAUCCCGCGUCGCCUCCACCCGCCAUUCACCGGAGCGGGAGACCGGGCAGCCCCACGGGCCACCGCGUCCAGGAGCCGCGCCGCUGCCCGCCCGCUGCUCCUCUCCCAGAUCAACUCCGCUCCUCUCCCAGAUCCACUCCGCCUCGCGUCCGCCCGCCUUUCACCGGAGCGGGAGACCGGGCAGCCCCGUCGGCCGCCACGUCCAGGAGCCGCUGCAUCGACCCACGGGUGCAGGACGCGGGAGACCGAGCGGCCCCGCGCCACGAGCGCGUCAAGGAGCCACGCCGCCCACGGAACCAGGAGCUGCGCCGCCCACGAGAGCAGGACGCGUGAGACCGGGCGGCUCCGCGCCGCGAUCGCGUCCAGGAGCUGCGCCGCCCACGCGAGCAGAGCUCUGCUAGUUGCUGGUUUUCUCUCUUCGCUUGUCCCUCUAAUUGUUCCCGGUUCCAAACCUUACCCUGCAGAUCAGUGCUGCAUCCGGCGAUGGUGUCCGUGAGACAUGAUGUGAGAUCAGGUAGCGGCCGUAGAUAGAAAUAGUGAGGAGUGUGAAUCGGAACAACAAGAUUAAAGCUUUUCCAAGUGGGUUCCUGCCUUCUUACUUUGAUCCUUCACUGAAUCAAGCCCUUUCGUCCUUUAUCUUUCUCUCUAGGGGUGUUGCUCCGCUUUCUGUUCUGUUAUCUGCCAUAUGCAGUAUAAGGGGUGGGAGCUUCUCUACCUGUAUGUAGGCGCAUCCUUUAAUUUUCCUCUACUUGUUCAGGUAGAUGUGUCAUAGUAGCGGUGGUAUCUUUUCCAUACUUUUUUCUGGAUUAGGUGUUGUUCUGGUGCAUAAAUGUGCUUGUUUGAUAGUUCCAUGUUGUCUGCUCCUACUACAACAAUCAUUGGUGUACACUCACGGCAGUUCUAACUAAAGUUAAAUGCUCAGCUUUAUCAUGAAAUAGCCACAUGCUUUUUCGUUAAACAUGGUGUAAUGUUCUGUUUUUUUACUGGUUUUCUGAAUGCAUGAACCAUGUUGUAAUGACCUUUUUUCAGUCUACGGUAAACCUAGUAUAUGUAAAGAUGUAGCUGGUAAUUCUGCAAUCAAGACACAAAAAAGUGUUACAAGGAAGAGGUUUGUCUCACUAAAACAGUUUCUGUACUCUUUUUUUAUUCCAUGGUAAAUACUAGCUUCAUAUGUACAUAACAUAUAAAAUGAAGUCUAGGUAACUCCUUGCUCCACUAGAAACAUUAGUGAAUGAAUUCAAUGAAAUAGGCCGGUUAUGGGUACUCCAUUCUAAGCAAUACUGAAACUCCCAGCCUAUAUAUGAUAUAUGAGAAAAAAAAUUGCCAAUGUAUUUGCGUUAAAUUUCUGUUCUGAAAAUAAGUGGUAGAAAGGAGUAGAAACCCUUGAAACAUAGAUGUACAUGAGUCUUGUGGUGGUGCUGGGUAGCUUUAGAACAAAAAUCUGAUAGUCUGAUAAUCUCAAUUUUGUGCUAGUUGAUUCACUUGUUUGUGCUCUGCUUUCAUAUUCUGCUACAGAUAUGCCUACUAAGUUUGAUGGUGGUUGAGUAACAUUCCUGAAUUGUUGUGUUUACAGUCCAAGCAUGAUAUUAAGGAGGAGCAAGGGAAUGCACUCAUUUUGUCUUUAUACCCACUUUCAGCUUUGGGCAUCUUAGGAUUUGUAGUAGUCCACGCAGAAAGUACACUUAGUUGUAUGAGUUGCACACUAAUUUUGUUCCUAAGCAUACAUUUUUUACCAACUUACAGUUUUAACUUUAAGUUUGUUCAGGUGGGAGUGGCAUGAUGGUCGAUCAUGUAAGCAACAAGCGGAUUAGUGCUCAUGGACACUUUUACUUUGGGCAGUGCUUAUUUGGAAUAUCUAGGCUAGCUUCCUUUAUUUUAUAAAUGUGGCUGCUGCUUGUACUGUCCCUGUGACAAACCCAACAUAUGAUCUAGUUAGCUUGACUUGAGCACUAUGACAUCACAAAUGAUGUCUAUGAUGAAGCUUUGCUGUUCAACCAA